GAUCCUGGCUCAGGAUGAACGCUAGCUACAGGCUUAACACAUGCAAGUCGAGGGGCAGCAUUUCAGUUUGCUUGCAAACUGGAGACGGCGACCGGCGCACGGGUGAGUAACACGUAUCCAACCUGCCGAUAACUCGGGGGAUAGCCUUUCGAAAGAAGAUUAAUACCCGAUGGUAUAAUUAGACCGCAUGGUCUAAUUAUUAAAGAAUUUCGGUUAUCGAUGGGGAUGCGUUCCAUUAGGCAGUUGG
rnacentral:rRNA from 1 species